rnacentral:rRNA from 1 species
CCUACGGGUGGCAGCAGUGAGGAAUAUUGGUCAAUGGGCGGAAGCCUGAACCAGCCAAGUAGCGUGCAGGAUGACGGCCCUACGGGUUGUAAACUGCUUUUAUACGGGAAUAACGCGCCUUACGUGUAGGGCUUUGCAUGUACCGUAUGAAUAAGGACCGGCUAAUUCCGUGCCAGCAGCCGCGGUAAUACGGAAGGUCCGGGCGUUAUCCGGAUUUAUUGGGUUUAAAGGGAGCGUUGGCCGCAGGUCAAGCGUGCUGUGAAAUGGCCGGGCUCAAACCGGGCCUUUGAGGGCGAACUGGAGUGGCUGAGGCCGCGGAAAGCAGGCGGAAUUCGGCGGG